rnacentral:rRNA from 1 species
GAUGAACGCUGGCGGCGUGCCUAAUACAUGCAAGUCGAGCGAACAGACGAGGAGCUUGCUCCUCUGACGUUAGCGGCGGACGGGUGAGUAACACGUGGAUAACCUACCUAUAAGACUGGGAUAACUUCGGGAAACCGGAGCCAAUACCGGAGAAUAUAUUGAACCGCAUGGUUCAAUAGUGAAAGACGGCUUUGCUGUCACUUAUAGAUGGAUCCGCGCCGCAUUAGCUAGUUGGUAAGGUAACGGCUUACCAAGGCAACGAUGCGUAGCCGACCUGAGAGGGUGAUCGGCCACACUGGAACUGAGACACGGUCCAGACUCCUACGGGAGGCAGCAGUAGGGAAUCUUCCGCAAUGGGCGAAAGCCUGACGGAGCAACGCCGCGUGAGUGAUGAAGGUCUUCGGAUCGUAAAGCUCUGUUAUUAGGAAAGAACAAAUGUGUAAGUAACUAUGCACGUCUUGACGGUACCUAAACAGAAAGCCACGGCUAACUUCGUG